CCCCCCCUCCCUCCCUCCCUCUCUCCUCUUUGUUAAACCCAGUGAUGUUGUUGUUGUUGUUGUUGUUGAUGUUGUUGUCCAAUGUGUUUGUUGUGGUUGAUGUGUGUUUGUUUGUUUACACCUGACAAACACACAAACGCACACACGCACACAGGACACACGCACACACACACACACACACAACAGGUGUUUUUUUUUAUCCCACAAAUACAUUAUUUGUUCGAGGUAUGUAAUUUCCAUUCUACGGAAAGAUUAUAAUUAUGAGGGGGGAGUUUGUUUGUUUGUUUGUUUGUUUGUUUGUUUGGUGAGGUAGUGUGUGUGUGUGUUUUUAUAAGUGAAUGUUUUAAGUUGUUUUUUGUUUUGAUUUCUUUAAGUAAUUUAUGUUUUUUUAAAGUAGUAAUUGAUCUUGUGUCUUGAAGUAGUGUGUGUGUUUUUAUAAGUGAAUGCUUUAAGUAGUUUUUUGUUUUGAUUUCCUUAAGUAAUUUGUGUUUUUUGAAGUAUGUUUUUUUCUAAGAUAUUUGUGUUUUUUUAAGUUAAUUUUGAAGUAUCCUUUUUUUUUAUUUUAAGUAAUUUUUUUUUUGAAGUAGUACAUAGUAGUAAUAGUAGUAGUUGUUGUUGUUUGCAUUUGAAAUUCUGUUUUUUUAAUAAUUUUGGUGUUUUUAAUUUUAGUUUUUUAUUUUUUGUUGAUUUUUAAAAGUAGUUUUUCCUUGUGAGUAAUUUAAAGUAAUCUGAUUAUUUAAAGUAAUAUUGAUGUUUGUAAUUCAGUUUUAUUCUGUUUUUAUUUUUAGAUUUUUGGUGUUUUUUUAGAAUUUUUUGCAUUUUUAUGAAUUUUUUGGCAUUUUUUAAGAAUUUUCGGCAUUUUCUUAGAUUUUUUGACAUUUUCUUACAAUUUUCGACAUUUUAAUACAAUUUGUGGCAUUUUUUAAUAAUUUUGUCAUUAUUAAUAACUAUGCCAUUUUUUUGUAGAAUUUUGAUGCACUGUGUAGCCUGUAUGCGUGUGUGUGUGUGUGUGUGUGUGUGUGAGAGAGAGAGAGAGAGAGAGAGAGAGAGAGAGAGAGAGAGAAAAGAUCUAUUUCUGAAACCAUGCUAGUAAAAAAAAUCAUGUAUGUGUGUGUGUGUGUGUGUGUGUGUGUGUGUGUGUGUGUGUGUAGACCUUAUAUACGUACACACUCGCCUACCUAUUUAUUUUUACGCACACAAAACUAUUUAUUGAACUAUUUAUUUUAGUAGUAGUAGUUGUUGUUGUUUGUUAGUUUGUCUGUUUUUAAUUUAUUAAUAAAAAUCCUGUUUACAACU